AUUGAACGCUGGCGGCAGGCCUAACACAUGCAAGUCGAACGAGUGGCGGACGGGUGAGUAAUGUCUGGGAAACUGCCUGAUGGAGGGGGAUAACUACUGGAAACGGUAGCUAAUACCGCAUACCAUCAGAUGUGCCCAGGUGGGAUUAGCUAGGAGGUGGGGUAACGGCUCACCUAGGCGACGACCCCUAGCUGGUCUGAGAGGAUGACCAGGCAGACGGGAACUGAGAGACGGUCCAGACUCCUACGGGAGGCAGCAGUGGGGAAUCUUGCGCAAUGGGCGCAAGCCUGAUGCAGCAAUGCCGCGUGUAUGAAGAAGGCCUGCGGGUUGUAAAGGACUGUCGGCGGGGAGGCGGUACCCGAAGAAGAAGCACCGGCUAACUCCGUGCCAGCAGCCGCGGUAAUUC
rnacentral:rRNA from 1 species